rnacentral:rRNA from 1 species
UACGAAGGGGGCUAGCGUUGUUCGGAUUUACUGGGCGUAAAGCGCACGCAGGCGGUUUGUUAAGUCAGAGGUGAAAUCCCGGAGCUCAACUCCGGAACUGCCUUUGAUACUGGCAAGCUAGAGUCCGGAAGAGGUAAGUGGAACUCCUAGUGUAGAGGUGGAAUUCGUAGAUAUUAGGAAGAACACCAGGUGGCGAAGGCGGCUUACCUGGUCCGGAACUGACGCUGAGGUGCGAAAGCGUGGGGAGCAAACAGG